UUACGGCCAUAUCACGUUGAAACACUAGUUUUCGUACGAUCACCGAUGUAAAGCAACGAUAUGUCUGUUCAGUAUCUAGAUGGGUGAGCGCUUGGGAAUACCAGAGGCUGUAAG